GGGUGUGACUGCGUACCUUUUGUAUAAUGGGUCAGCGACUUAUAUUCUGUAGCAAGGUUAACCGUAUAGGGGAGCCGCAGGGAAACCGAGUCUUAACUGGGCGUUAAGUUGCAGGGUAUAGACCCGAAACCCGGUGAUCUAGCCAUGGGCAGGUUGAAGGUUGGGUAACACUAACUGGAGGACCGAACCGACUAAUGUUGAAAAAUUAGCGGAUGACUUGUGGCUGGGGGUGAAAGGCCAAUCAAACCGGGAGAUAGCUGGUUCUCCCCGAAAGCUAUUUAGGUAGCGCCUCGUGAACUCAUCUUCGGGGGUAGAGCACUGUUUCGGCUAGGGGGUCAUCCCGACUUACCAACCCGAUGCAAACUACGAAUACCGAAGAAUGUUAUCACGGGAGACACACGGCGGGUGCUAACGUCCGUCGUGAAGAGGGAAACAACCCAGACCGCCAGCUAAGGUCCCAAAGUCACAGUUAAGUGGGAAACGAUGUGGGAAGGCACAGACAGCCAGGAUGUUGGCUUAGAAGCAGCCAUCAUUUAAAGAAAGCGUAAUAGCUCACUGGUCGAGUCGGCCUGCGCGGAAGAUGUAACGGGGCUAAACUGUGCACCGAAGCUGCGGCAGCGACACUAUGUGUUGUUGGGUAGGGGAGCGUUCUGUAAGCCUGCGAAGGUGGCCUGUGAGGGUUGCUGGAGGUAUCAGAAGUGCGAAUGCUGACAUAAGUAACGAUAAUGCGGGUGAAAAGCCCGCACGCCGGAAGACCAAGGGUUCCUGUCCAACGUUAAUCGGGGCAGGGUGAGUCGACCCCUAAGGCGAGGCCGAAAGGCGUAGUCGAUGGGAAACAGGUUAAUAUUCCUGUACUUGGUGUUACUGCGAAGGGGGGACGGAGAAGGCUAUGUUAGCCGGGCGACGGUUGUCCCGGUUUAAGCAUGUAGGCGGAGGUUCCAGGUAAAUCCGGUACCUUUU
rnacentral:rRNA from 1 species